CCUACGGGUGGCAGCAGUGAGGAAUAUUGGUCAAUGGGCGCGAGCCUGACCCAGCCAAGUAGCGUGAAGGAUGACUGCCCUACGGGUUGUAAACUUCUUUUAUAAAGGAAUAAACUGAGGCACGUGUGCAUUUUUGUAUGUACUUUAUGAAUAAGGAUCGGCUAACUCCGUGCCAGCAGCCGCGGUAAUACGGAGGAUCCGAGCGUUAUCCGGAUUUGUUGGGUUUAAAGGGAGCGUAGAUGGGUUGUUAAGUCAGUUGUGAAAGUUUGCGGCUCAACCGUAAAAUUGCAAUUGAUACUGGCAGUCUUGAGUACAGUUGAGGUAGGCGGAAUUCGUGGGGUAGCGGUGAAAUGCUUAGAGAUCACGAAGAACUCCGAGUGCGAAGGCAGCUUACUAAGCUGUGACUGACAUUGAUGCUCGAAAGUGUGGGUAUCAAACAGGAUUAGAUACCCGGGUAGUC
rnacentral:rRNA from 1 species